UUCCUUCAGUUUACCUCUUCAAGUUCCGAGAAGGCCGAAACCGCCGAACCCGAAAUCAAAUUAGAAGAGGGUGUUUUUCUCGUAGAAUCGGAAAUAGCAGGAAUAUUGUUAUUUUUUU